rnacentral:rRNA from 1 species
UCAGUAACGGCGAGUGAAGCGGCAAAAGCUCAAAUUUGAAAUCUAGCACUUUCAGUGUUCGAGUUGUAAUUUGAAGAAGGUAACUUUGGUUUUGGCUCUUGUCUAUGUUCCUUGGAACAGGACGUCACAGAGGGUGAGAAUCCCGUGCGAUGAGAUGCCCAAUUCCAUGUAAAGUGCUUUCGAAGAGUCGAGUUGUUUGGGAAUGCAGCUCUAAGUGGGUGGUAAAUUCCAUCUAAAGCUAAAUAUUGGCGAGAGACCGAUAGCGAACAAGUACAGUGAUGGAAAGAUGAAAAGAACUUUGAAAAGAGAGUGAAAAAGUACGUGAAAUUGUUGAAAGGGAAGGGCUUGAGAUCAGACUUGGUAUUUUGCGUUCCCUUCCUUUUUGGUUGGGUUCCUCGCAGUUUACUGGGCCAGCAUCGGUUUGGAUGGUAGGAUAAUGACAUUGGAAUGUAGCUUUACUUCGGUGAAGUGUUAUAGACUUUGUUGAUACUGCCUAUCUAGACCGAGGACUGCGUCUUUGACUAGGAUGCUGGCGUAAUGAUCUUAAGCAGCCCGUCUU